CAAAAAAUGGGUUUUGUAGCACUGUUCAUUAUACACAAAUAUAUUUAGUUACAUUAACACAUACACAUUUAUUUUUAAGACAAAAUACAAGUGUAAUGUGUUAUGCUAAAUCAAUUUGUUAUUCACUCUGGUUUACCUAACUACCUAUCUUUAAACAAAAGUAAUUGGUUUACUUUUGCGAUAGAGAGUAGACCUAUUAUCAGGUUCAUAUUCCGGAACAGAGGGGGCGGUAAUGCUCCAUUAAGCUGGUUACCAAUCGCCGGUAAAAAAGAAAGAAGAAGAAGAAGAAUAUUUUUCAAACUAAAGGAUGUGACGUCAUUUUAACAACUUCCACGAAGACGGCGCGCAGGUGAUGGUGUGUCAUACCACAAUGACUUCUCCAGUCUGGCUAAAAGUUACAAAAGGUGAUCCUUCAGUAUGCCAUUCCUACUUCAGUGAGUGACUCAGGAAUCGCCUUCAAUAGCAGAUUUCAAAACUAGAUGGCCUGCUCUUUUCAGAAGGGAAGAGAUUUGUGCACAGUUUAAAAGAAUCACAACAGCCCCAUUGGUGUCUACAUACUUGGCGAAGAUGAAUCCAUAUUCUGCAAAGCUUAUAAGGAUCUAUGCAA